UACGUAGGCAGCGAGCGUUGUUCGGAAUUACUGGGCGUAAAGAGUGUGUAGGCGGUGCUCUAAGUUCGGUGUGGAAUCUCCUGGCUUAACUGGGAGGGUGCGCCGGAAACUGGGGUGCUCGAGCGUGGGAGAGGAAAGCGGAAUUCCUGGUGUAGCGGUGAAAUGCGUAGAUAUCAGGAGGAACACCUGUGGUGUAGACAGCUUUCUGGACCAUUGCUGACGCUGAGACACGAAAGCGUGGGUAGCAAACAGG
rnacentral:rRNA from 1 species